GGGAGGCAGCAGUGGGGAAUUUUGGACAAUGGGGGCAACCCUGAUCCAGCCAUGCCGCGUGAGUGAAGAAGGCCUUCGGGUUGUAAAGCUCUUUCGGCCGGGAAGAAAUCGUAUGGGUUAAUACCCUGUGCGGAUGACGGUACCGGCAUAAGAAGCACCGGCUAACUACGUGCCAGCAGCCGCGGUAAUACGUAGGGUGCGAGCGUUAAUCGGAAUUACUGGGCGUAAAGCGUGCGCAGGCGGUUUAGUAAGACAGGCGUGAAAUCCCCGGGCUCAACCUGGGAACUGCGCUUGUGACUGCUAAGCUAGAGUACGGCAGAGGGGGUGGAAUUCCACGUGUAGCAGUGAAAUGCGUAGAGAUGUGGAGGAACACCGAUGGCGAAGGCAGCCCCCUGGGCCGAUACUGACGCUCAUGCACGAAAGCGUGGGUAGCAAACAGGAUUAGAUACCC
rnacentral:rRNA from 1 species